AAACUUAGCCCCAAUGGGAGAUACUGUGAUCUCAGAGGUAGCUUUCCCAGGGUGAGACUCAUCCAUUGCACUGCACAUACGCUGUCCCUUAUGAGUUUCCAAAAUUUUGGGGAAUUGCAUAAUUAGUGAUAGUGGGGGGGGGCUGUGUUCCCAUCUUCCCUUU